UCCCUUUCCUCUCCCGUAACCCGGCCCUAUCCCCUCCCUCUCUGUGCGCCGCCGCUUUCUCGUCUCGCCCCUCGCUCUCAGGUGCGCCGCCGCUCCCUCUUAGCCCCUCCCUCUCCGGCGCGCGGUCACUCCCUCGUCCCCCUUCCCUCUCCGCACAAAAAGGGAGGAAAAUGGGGUGCUAGGAAGAAGAGGAGCACGUGCGGACGGCAAGCAGAUGCGUGGCUGCUGUUGCAGCUGGCCUACAGCAGCGAUUGCGAUCUUCCUCCUUGAAUAUGCUUUGGCUCUACAGAUUUUACUGCAUGUAGCUACGAGAGAGAUGGAGAGGAUAUUGAGAUGACACUCGUGGUUGCUUUUUGAUUAAAGUUUGGUGUUCUAUGCUGUUCAAAUUUGUGCCAUAUCCUUUGCAAGGAUUGUUAAUUAGUUUCUCUGAAACAAAAUAGGCACACUCAAAUUGCUAUUGUCUGCUACUCCUACAUCUUUGUAAUAAUUAGUGGAGCCAUUGUUUUUUAAAAGGAUGUUGUUUUCCUUGCAAAUAUAAACAAAAAUGCUGCUGAAAUUUUGUAUUUU